CACAGAGAUAAGGGUCCCUGACGAACGAACUGGGCCAGAUUCCCUUCCUUCCUUCCUUUAUCCACAGCAGGGGAAGCCUUGCUGGCUGCCAAUGUUGAGAAUGGAACAGAAUGGUAGGGCCUUGUCACUCUCCAGAGAGGAAUUCCUCCUCCUGUGCAGCCAAGGAAUGCAGCAGGCUCUGCAGAGUCCUCUCAUUCCAGAUGUCCCCUGUCCUUACAGGAUGGCAUUCCCUCCAAUGUCAUAUCAACCUGAUAACCUGAGACUGUGACCUUGGAAGUAUAAGCAGUCGUACUUAAGCAUAGUUCAAA